GAGUUUGAUCCUGGCUCAGAUUGAACGCUGGCGGCAUGCCUUACACAUGCAAGUCGAACGGCAGCAUGAUCUAGCUUGCUAGAUUGAUGGCGAGUGGCGAACGGGUGAGCAAUACAUCGGAACGUGCCCUGUAGUGGGGGAUAACUAGUCGAAAGAUUAGCUAAUACCGCAUACGACCUGAGGGUGAAAGUGGGGGACCGCAAGGCCUCAUGCUAUAGGAGCGGCCGAUGUCUGAUUAGCUAGUUGGUGGGGUAAAGGCCCACCAAGGCGACGAUCAGUAGCUGGUCUGAGAGGACGAUCAGCCACACUGGGACUGAGACACGGCCCAGACUCCUACGGGAGGCAGCAGUGGGGAAUUUUGGACAAUGGGCGAAAGCCUGAUCCAGCAAUGCCGCGUGUGUGAAGAAGGCCUUCGGGUUGUAAAGCACUUUUGUCCGGAAAGAAAUGGCUCUGGUUAAUACCUGGGGUCGAUGACGGUACCGGAAGAAUAAGGACCGGCUAACUACGUGCCAGCAGCCGCGGUAAUACGUAGGGUCCAAGCGUUAAUCGGAAUUACUGGGCGUAAAGCGUGCGCAGGCGGUUGUGCAAGACCGAUGUGAAAUCCCCGAGCUUUAAYUUGGGAAWUGCAUUGGUGACUGCWCGGCUAGAGUGUGUCAGAGGGGGGUAGAAAUUCCACGUGUAGCAGUGAAAUGCGUAAAGAUG
rnacentral:rRNA from 1 species